GAACUGCGAUAAGUAAUGUGAAUUGCAGAAUUCAGUGAAUCAUCGAGUCUUUGAACGCACAUUGCGCCCCCUGGCAUUCCGGGGGGCAUGCCUGUCCGAGCGUCAUUGCUGCCCUUCAAGCCCGGCUUGUGUGUUGGGUCAUCGUCCCCUCCGGGGGACGGGCCCGAAAGGCAGCGGCGGCACCGCGUCCGGUCCUCGAGCGUAUGGGGCUUUGUCACCCGCUCGAUAAGGACCGGCCGGGCGCCAGCCGGCGUCUCCAACCUUUUUUUCUCAGGUUGACCUCGGAUCAGGUAGGGAUACCCGCUGAACUUAAGC
rnacentral:misc_RNA from 1 species